rnacentral:rRNA from 1 species
GACGAACGCUGGCGGCGUGCUUAACACAUGCAAGUCGAACGGAAAGGCCCUGCUUUUGUGGGGUGCUCGAGUGGCGAACGGGUGAGUAACACGUGAGUAACCUGCCCUUGACUUUGGGAUAACUUCAGGAAACUGGGGCUAAUACCGGAUAGGAGCUCCUGCUGCAUGGUGUGGGUUGGAAAGUUUCGGUGGUUGGGGAUGGACUCGCGGCUUAUCAGCUUGUUGGUGGGGUAGUGGCUUACCAAGGCUUUGACGGGUAGCCGGCCUGGGAGGGUGACCGGCCACAUUGGGACUGAGAUACGGCCCAGACUCCUACGGGAGGCAGCAGUGGGGAAUAUUGCACAAUGGGCGGAAGCCUGAUGCAGCAGCGCCGCGUGCGGGAUGACGGCCUUCGGGUUGUAAACCGCUUUCGCCUGUGACGAAGCGUGAGUGACGGUAAUGGGUAAAGAAGCACCGGCUAACUACGUG